rnacentral:rRNA from 1 species
ACUCUCAGCAACGGAUAUCUUGGCUCCUGCAACGAUGAAGAACGCAGCGAAAUGCGAUACGUAGUGUGAAUUGCCACAUAACGGGUAGCAUAGAGUUAUUGUACACACGUACCGUCAGAGAUUAAAAAUAUGACAUUAACGCUAGAGUGUCA